ACAGAAGCCUGGCUCAGGGAAGGGAGCUACUCCUGGAAGCCUCUUCAAGAUUCACUUUUGAGGAAGGACAUACAGAAGAAGGUGGCAAUUCCCUCACGUCCUUUUACCGUUGAUUUUUAAAACACUUGCCAUGUGCUGGCCCUGUGCCCAACAUUUCACCUUCAUCACCUUGUUUAAUAUUGCCAAUAGGCAGCCGAGCCUUUGGCAACUACCAUUCUACUUUCUGUCUUUAUGAAUUGGACCACUUCAAGUAUCUCGUCACCUGCAGCUUUUCUCUGAACCUGGAUGGAGGCUGUGUGGAGUCUGCUCAGCACAGAAAAGCCUGCUGACGGGGUGAGAAACGGAAGCAAGACAUUCUUCAACGAACUGGAACAAAUAGUUCUAAAAUUCAUAU